rnacentral:rRNA from 1 species
UACGUAGGGUGCGAGCGUUAAUCGGAAUUACUGGGCGUAAAGCGCACGUAGGCGGCUUCUUAAGUCAGGGGUGAAAUCCUGGAGCUCAACUCCAGAACUGCCUUUGAUACUGAGGAGCUUGAGUCCGGGAGAGGUGAGUGGAACUGCGAGUGUAGAGGUGAAAUUCGUAGAUAUUCGCAAGAACACCAGUGGCGAAGGCGGCUCACUGGCCCGGUACUGACGCUGAGGUGCGAAAGCGUGGGGAGCAAACAGG